AACGAACGCUGGCGGCAGGCUUAACACAUGCAAGUCGAGCGCCCCGCAAGGGGAGCGGCAGACGGGUGAGUAACGCGUGGGAACGUACCCUUUGCUACGGAAUAGCUCCGGGAAACUGGAAUUAAUACCGUAUGUGCCCUACGGGGGAAAGAUUUAUCGGCAAAGGAUCGGCCCGCGUUGGAUUAGCUAGUUGGUGGGGUAAUGGCCUACCAAGGCGACGAUCCAUAGCUGGUCUGAGAGGAUGAUCAGCCACAUUGGGACUGAGACACGGCCCAAACUCCUACGGGAGGCAGCAGUGGGGAAUAUUGGACAAUGGGCGCAAGCCUGAUCCAGCCAUGCCGCGUGAGUGAUGAAGGCCUUAGGGCUGUAAAGCUCUUUCACCGGAGAAGAUAAUGACGGUAUCCGGAGAAGAAGCCCCGGCUAACUUCGUGCCAGCCGCCGCGGUAAAAC
rnacentral:rRNA from 1 species